rnacentral:rRNA from 1 species
AUGACACUAGAGUACACAUGUACUUAAGUUAAAAGGAGCAAGUGCUUCACUAUGAGAUGGACCUGCGUUGUAUUAGCUAGUUGGUGAGGUAACGGCUCACCAAGGCGACGAUACAUAGCCGACCUGAGAGGGUGAUCGGCCACACUGGGACUGAGACACGGCCCAGACUCCUACGGGAGGCAGCAGUAGGGAAUCUUCGGCAAUGGACGGAAGUCUGACCGAGCAACGCCGCGUGAGUGAAGAAGGUUUUCGGAUCGUAAAGCUCUGUUGUUAGAGAAGAACGGUAGUGGGAGUGGAAAAUCCAUUACGUGACGGUAACUAACCAGAAAGGGACGGCUAACUACGUGCCAGCAGCCGCGGUAAUACGUAGGUCUCGAGCGUUGUCCGGAUUUAUUGGGCGUAAAGCGAGCGCAGGCGGCUCUAUAAGUCUGAAGUAAAAGGCAGUGUCUCAACCAUUGUAUGCUUUGGAAACUGUAGAACUUGAGUGCAGAAGGGGAGAGUGGAAUUCCAUGUGUAGCGGUGAAAUGCGUAGAUAUAUGGAGGAACACCGGUGGCGAAAGCGUCUCUCUGGUCUGUAACUGACGCUGAGGCUCGAAAGCGUGGGGAGCAAACAGGAUUAGAUACCCUGGUAGUCCACGCCGUAAACGAUGAGUGCUAGGUGUUAGGCCCUUUCCGGGGCUUAGUGCCGCAGCUAACGCAUUAAGCACUCCGCCUGGAGAGUACGACCGCAAGGUUGAAACUCAAAGGAAUUGACGGGGGCCCGCACAAGCGGUGGAACAUGGGGUUAAUUCGAAGCACGCGAAAACCUUACCAGGUCUUGACUCCCUCUGACCGUCUAAAAAUAGGAUUUCCUUCGGGACAAAGAAACAGGGGUGCAUGGUUGCCUCCCCUCGGGCCGGAAAUGUGGGUUAAGUCCCGAACGAGCGCACCCCUAUUGUAGUUGCCUUAUUAAGUGGGCCUUUAGGAAUU